AUUGAACGCUGGCGGCAGGCUUAACACAUGCAAGUCGAGCGAGAGGGGGACGUGUGAAUAAUGUCUGGGAAACUGCCUGAUGGAGGGGGAUAACUACUGGAAACGGUAGCUAAUAACGCAUACCAUCCUCUGUGCCCAGAUGGGAUUAGCUAGUAGGUGGGGGAAUGGCUCACCUAGGCCACGAUCCCUAGCUGGUCUGAGAGGAUGACCAGCCACACGGGAACGGCGACACGGUCCAGACUCCUACGGGAGGCAGCAGUGGGGAAUAUUGCACAAUGGGCGCAAGCCGGAUGCAGCCAUGCCGCGUGUGUGAAGAAGGCCUUCGGGUUGUAAAGCACUUUCAGCGAGGAGGCGUUACGCGCAGAAGAAGCACCGGCUAACUCCGUGCCAGCAGCCGCGGUAAUUC
rnacentral:rRNA from 1 species